UUAUUUAAGUUAUUUUAUUUUUUCCAUUCGCGAGUCGGAAACGAACGGAGAAGUCUGCCGAAGGAGUUUCUACAAAUAUACUUUGUUUAAAUGGGGCAUUUGAAGAGACGAACAUGGGACCUCUCUCACAAAAAGCAAUGAUCAUACGGGUUUCCUACAUUAUUAUCGGAAUCAUAUGGUGUCAACAAUAUUGAGUUCUCAAACUAUAACUUGGGAUUUGGCAUUUUGAGUAAUGGAACAUUCCAUGUUGUUGGGGCCGAGCAAAAGGAUUGGAAUUCAACAACUAGGUAAAAUAUCAUUCUGAACCAUUCCCUUCAUUCAACCAUGGUUGUGAUUGCCCCUUCAUAAUUCCAUACUCUAGCAACAACCUGGCUUGAUCAGACUUGCCCUUGUUGCCACCAAUGCUUUCCGAUGGCAAGUCAAGCCCUCUCUUGCUCAUCAUCUGCGACAGAAUUGGCAACACUUGCUGAAGGUGACAAAGGUCAACUUACAGACUACACCUACUACCGGCAUGCUUUUGGAGGUCGCUGAACAUUGAAAUCAUUCCCAGCGUGCAGGAUUGCCAUUUGACUUUGGUACAGUAUUCUUUGCCUUAUAUGUUAUACUUUUUCCCUAUAUCUUAAUUUUGUCAUAUUUUAGGGACUUAUGUUGUAAAGCCAGGUUUAUAAAUAGUCCCUCUCUUGUAAUACAAACACGGGAAUAUGCAAGUGAUAAUUGCAGUCCAUUGAGAACUUUAUCUCUAAAA